rnacentral:rRNA from 1 species
UACCUGGUUGAUCCUGCCAGUAGUCAUAUGCUUGUUUCAAAGAUUAAGCCAUGCAUGUCUGAGUACAAACCGAACUAACGGUGAAACCGGGAAUGGCUCAUUAAAUCAGUUAUGAUCCACUGGAUCUAGUAAAAACCCAUUACUUGGAUAACUGUGGUAAUUCUAGAGCUAAUACAUGCAACUGAGUUCUGACCCCGUCCGUCGAUACUAUUUUUAUUUAAUAGGCGGAUCGGGGGAAGGGCGCAUUUAUUAGAUCACAAAACCGAUCGGACUUCGGUCCGUUAUAAAAUUUAAAAAUUAUCUUUCGAUGUGAUGACUCUGGUAUAACCACGGCCGAGCGCUGCGGUCUUCGAACCGGCGCCGUAUCCUUCGAGUGUCUGCCUUAUCAGCUGUCGAUUGUAGCUUAUUCGUCUACAAUGGCUGUAACGGGUAACGGGGAAUGCAGGGUUCGAUUCCGGGAGAGGGAGCCUGAGAAACGGCUACCACAUCUAAGGAAGGCAGCAGGCACGCAAAUUACCCACUCCCGGCUCGGGGAGGUAGUGACGAGAAAUAACGAUGCGGGACUCUUCCGAGGCCUCGCAAUCGGAAUGAGUUACUUUAAAUCCUUAUACGAGGAUCGAUUGGAGGGCAAGUCUGGUGCCAGCAGCCGCGGUAAUUCCAGCUCCAAUAGCGUAUAUUAAAUUUGUUGCGGUUAAAAAGCUCGUAGUUGAGUUUUGAGUUCGGCCCGGAAAGUCCAUACCCAUCCUUGGCGCUUCCCCUCGUUCUCUUGUUUGAGGUAGUGGGUUAAAAAAAAAUUGGGGGCGAAGUGAAAAUUUUGUUUUAUAAAUAGAUAGCACGGCACACCUCCGUGUAUGCGAAUUGAAAAGAAGCAGCAGCAGCAGCAGCAGCAACAGCGGCAGCGGUAACUAACGAGAGCAGCGGCCGCGGCAUAAGCGACAACCUACGAAUUUCUAUUGGCGGCUUAAGCGGGCGGGGUUGCCUUACGUUUCCUAUUUGUAGUAGAAGUAGCGAGUCGGAGCUGAGAUAAUCGCCCAUCGGCGCGUGCGUUCUUUGGGAAAUGAUGCUGCUCCUAUAAAAAUCUCUCUCUCCUACUUACAUAGGCGAAUUAACUGCUAUCUUACUACCCCUGUCCGCAGACUCUCUUAACAGUAAAGGUUGUUCGUCUGUCGGCUUGGCCGUCUGCGUCCCGUCCGUCUGCCUGCCUGCCUGCCUGCCUGCCUGUCUGCCUCUCAGAAAACGUCUCAUAUUUCUUUUUGUGUUAUAUUUUUCUUGCCUCCAAUAGAAUAUAUGGCUCUACUAAAAAAUGGCGAGGGGCGUUAUUCGAGAUGGUUGGUUCGCUUUCCGAAGUCGAAUGAUGUAAAAGCCGUCGGCUUUCUCGGGGUGCUCUUUGCCGGGUGUCCCGCGAUGCCGACAAGUUCACUUUGAAAAAAUUAGAGUGCUCAAAGCAGGCCAAUAUAUUUUAAACGCCUGAAUGCUAGUGCAUGGAAUGAUGAAACAGGACCUCGGUUCUGCCUAUAACUACUUGUUUUUUAUUUUUGCGCUCGGUUUUUUGGAACCCGAGGUAAUGAUUAAAGGGGGACUGACGGGGGCAUUAGUAUUGCGGCGCUAGAGGUUGAAAAUUCUUUGGAACCGUCGCAGAGACUAACUACUGCGAAAGCAUUUGCACAAGAAUGUUUUCGAUUAAUCAAGAACGAAAGUUAGAGGAUCGAAGGCGAUCAGAUACCGCCCUAGUUCUAACCCUAAACGAUGCUAACUAGCAAUCCGCUCGAAAGUCAUACCCACGACCGAGCGGGAAACCCCGGGAAACCAAAGUGUUUGAGUUCCGGGGGAAGUAUGGUUGCAAAAUUGAAACUUAAAGGAAUUGACGGAAGGGCACCACCAGGAGUGGACCCUGCGGCUUAAUUUGACUCAACACGGGAAACCUCACCAGGCCCGGACACCGGAAGGAUUGACAGAUUGAGAGCUCUUUCUCGAUUCGGUGGAUGGUGGUGCAUGGCCGUUCUUAGUUGGUGGAGCGAUCUGUCUGGUUGAUUCCGAUAACGAACGAGACUCUAUCCUACUAACUAGUCGUAGGAUCGUUUCCCGAGACGGGUUUGAACUCUCGAGCUCGGGUGUAUUCGGCGCGAUCGUAACCGUUUGGUUGGCCCGGCGGACGAAGAAAAGGUCGGCAUCUUAGUUCGGUUGUUGGACGUGGCGGCUUUUUGGGAGUGAGCGUUGCUUUUUUAUUAGGGGGUGCUCGGUCGGUGUAGUAGCUCGGCGACCGUCGUCGUCGCCGCUGCCCUCCGGCGCUUUCGUUUUUAUCCUCGCUCGCGCUCUCGCUCGUUUCAACUUCCGGGCGUCGACCCAGUUCGCUCGUCGUCGUCGCUAACGGGGGGCCGUCGUCACGACUCGAGUCUUUCGAGGGUGCUCGAUUAAGGGGCGUCCUUCGCAAUUUCUUCUUAGAGGGAUCAGCGGCGUCUAGCUGCACGAGAUGGAGCAAUAACAGGUCUGUGAUGCCCUUAGAUGUUCUGGGCCGCACGCGCGCUACAAUGAAGGGGUCAGCGUUGCUUCCCCCCUCCGAAAGGACGGGUAACCCGGUGAAAUCCCUUCCCGAUUGGGAUUGGGGAUUGCAAGUGUUUCCCAUGAACGAGGAAUUCCCAGUACGCGCGAGUCAUGAAGCUCGGUUGAUUACGUCCGCUGCCCUUUGUACACACCGCCCGUCGCUACUACCGUAUGAGUGAUCAGUGAGGGCUCGGACUGGCGCCCUCGGUAAACCUAUAGGUUUUUCGGUCGAUCGCGCGAUACCGACCAGUUCUAUAUCUAUAAAUAUUUUUCGCAGGUCCGGUUACCGCGAUGGCNNNCCUUUAGGCCGAGUACCUUGGGCUGACGGAAAGAUGUCCGAACUUGAUUACUUAGAGGAAGUAAAAGUCGUAACAAGGUUUCCGUAGGUGAACCUGCGGAAGGAUCAUUA